CUAUCUUCGAGGGCGUUUAAAACCUGAAGAUGGCUGCAACCGCGCAUGCCGAAACGUCAGGCAAAACCACCGUCCCAACCUUUGACCGAGAAGCCGGGAAGUAGCUCUGCUUCACCUCCAGGCAGUCUCUGUUAACAGUAACAACUGACAGUUUCGCUUAAGUCUCGGAGACUUCCAGCCACCGUCACAUGAAGA